rnacentral:misc_RNA from 1 species
UAGCCGUAGGUGAACCUGCGGCUGGAUCAUUAUCGAGCAAAAUGAUAAAUUUUUAUGGAUGACAUGCUAGGAGCGGUCCGUUCGUAUGACGGAUGCGGCUCGUCAUCAGUGAACCAACGGCUUUCGGUUGGCGUCUAACACAGUUCUCGAGCAGUUGUGCCUAAGUCCGUGGCUGUGAUGAAAGAACUGAGGUACGCAUACGUCCUGCUAGUUUAGGGUAGCGGAUGCGAAGACUUAAUGAGCUCUAUGCCUAGGAGCUACCAACUACUCAUUCAUUUUUCUAACGAUUUUUCUAACGAAAAAGACUAACGUAUCAGUCUUACCGGUGGAUCACUCGGCUCAU